AGAUGACAAGAAACAAAGCACAAGGUAUGUGCAAGGGCCUAAGAAGUAGAGCUAGGCACUGAGGGAUGGACACGGAUACAGAAAGACAUAGGAAUACCAGCAGAGAUUUCACGACGACGGCUGGGCCUUGGCAAAUGGACAGUUUCCCACCAGUAGACCUCCCUGAGAGGAAUGACCAAUCUCCCCGUCAAUCAUCUCAGGCCCACCAAUGAGGAUGUUGAGAGGCGGGGGCGUGAAAUGUUGUGGAAGAAACCCUAGCACGUGCCUAAGAUCUUGACUGUCUGGAUUGUGCUGUGGGGGCUUCCGUAGACCGUUUUCCUCGGUUAGGAUUUAACAUGGCGGCUCCCUUUCCGGAGAUCACAGAAGUGACCUGGUGAUGGCAAAAUCGAGUACUGGCCAGCCGAUGGGCCUGUAAGGAGAAGAGAGUGGACCCGGAAUUAGCUGUCCAGACCUGCCAGAUGAAGCCAGCAAAUUUCCUCAGCUAUUACGGGGCUUCUGUUUGGAAACCAGCCUCUUUAAUCCUGCUAUGAUGCCAAGAGGUAGCCCAGCAACUCACACCUUGCCUUGCUCUGAGCCACUUUCUUGUGUGGCCAUCUCUGACACCUUAUGCCAAAGCUGAUGUGGCUCAGCACCAAGUUCCG